UCUCUGUCUCUGUCUUUUCACAAAGGGGUUUAACGACUUCAUGCAGUAAGAUGUGCCUCUCUCAAAGGUUUCCACUUCCUUUCUCAUCCACGCUUCACCAGCGAAGCCUGAAAAGGACCUGAACACGUUCCUUCAGGCAGAUUAUUUUAGUUUAAAAUCCUAAGCUUUUUGAAUGAUAACACUCACAACACUCCA